CAGAGCUGUGUUAAUGUCCUGCCCUGCCUGACUCAUCCCUUCCUCCGUGCACUAGCAUUUCCGUUGGUCUUAGGAAACACGAACAGACAGAUGCUGGAGCACCAGGAAGUAAGCAUAACAUGGAGAAGAACACAACUCACUUACCUCUGGUCCAGGCAGGCCCUGGAACCCUGAAGCACCCUUGACACCCAUCAUCCCCUAGGAAACAAGCCAAUGUAUUGAGGAGAGGAUUAGGAGCAGAAACGUCAGGCACAGGGCCACCUAAUCUGCCUCUUUAAAGAGUCAAACCCAAGACAAGAGAGUCCCACCUCAAGGCACUCAGAACACUGGGACACUAUUUACCGAAGUGCCGUGGCCAUUCAACAAGGGUUUCUUCCCCGGGGGGAGAGUCUCCAAGCAUUAAGGAGCUUCACCACACACCUCCCCAUCCCCAAAAGGCCAGUAGCAGCAGCAGCAGCAUUUUGACAGAUGGGUAAACUGAGGUAGAGAGCGAUUGAGUGACUUGCCCAAAACUAAAUGAAUCAAUGUCAGAGCCAGGAAUAGAACCUGUAUCGCUCUACUCCCCAUCAUGUGCUUUAAUCACUAUAGAUCACCCAUCCUCAUCCAAUGACAAAAGGUAUCCAAGUUAGGUCCCAUCCCAGCUAUGGGACAGUGUCUGCUCAGGAGAGCAAAGGGGCCGAAUGGAAUUGGAGGGAUGCUGCAGGACAGAAUCAAGAGGCACUGGAGGCUCAGUAUUAGACCCGUGAGAUGCUUGGCUCUUUUUGCCGCCUUUGGAGUGGGAGACCCUUGUUUCACUUCACACGGGUUCAAGUCUCCCUGAGUUCUGCUUUGAGUUUGGGGUUCAAGCAACCCCCGACCUCAAAGCAAAGGCGACUACUGGGCAAGUGGAAAGAGAGGUGAGAGAGGAACCCUGGGAGGUGGUCAGAGGACAAGAGGAGCUGGUUUCUUUGCCAACUUACCUGAGCGCCAGCAGAUCCUGAAGGGCCAUUUCGUCCUUUCACCCCCUGAAACAGCAAAAAGCACAGACAGUGACUGAAUAGCACAGAGGAGCUCAGGAAACCGUACCCUGUGCAGCAGAAAGCAGUGCUGGAGGGGAGGGGACGCCUCAUGCCUGCUGGGAUCCUGAACCGGGCCAGAGCACAGACUGAUCAGCACCUCCUUUUGCAGGGCUGACAAUGGGUCUGCUGAGUCACUGUGCCGCCAAAUGGAUUUCCAUUCUGUACCCCCCAAAGCCAGGCCUGGGGGGAGACACUGCCCUGACUGCACUCCAACCCGAGCCAGGGGGUCUUUUCCCUUCUCUGAUGUAGGCUCUUUGUUGUGAAGGGGAACUACAGUCCAACCUACCCCCUCCCCCUCCUAAAACACAAGAGAGAUGCGGAACAAUGGGAAAGGUUGGCCCCUUCUUUAGGAAGGAGAAAGCAACGAAGAACGGAAGGAACCUGUACCAGGGCUGCAAGCUAAUUCAGCACACAGGGGCUGCACAGACGUGAAGGUGCAGAGAGGGAUCAGAUUUAUUUUCUGAGUGACGAUGAGACUUGAGCAGAAUUGGCUUCAUGUCAGUGAGAGGGGAGCAAAAGUCAGUAUCCCUGCGACAUGGCAGAAUGCCUGGAGGCCAUGGGGGAUGCUGGAAGGCUUACUGCUGGAAGCCAGCACUUCACAUUAAAGUGACUCAAAAACACAGCAGCCAGCAAUGUCUUUUGCAUGGAUCUCAUACCCACUGGGUCCCCGUGCCCAGGCUCAGAACAAGUGAACUCACCUUUGUCCCCUUUUCUCCUUUUUCCCCAGGUGGUCCGGGGUCACCCAAGAACCCCUGAAACAGCUGGACCUUGGUCACCCUUAAAUCCCUGAGGGCCCUGGUAACGAGGAGGAAGGAAUGGAAGACACAAAAGACCAGUUUAUGCUCGUGAAACCUGAACUGACACAGCUUGUGUGGCAGAAUGAGGCAGCAGUUCUCAAACCGCGGUGGUGAUACUCACUGGGCCAAAUUCAAGCCUGUGGCCCAAGAGAUACCAUCUUUGCCUGCAUGCCUCACUAAAACAGAGAGACUGCAUCUGGGGAUUAACGGCGGGAAUUGAGAAAGACCAUCUACAGCUUCUCCAGUGGUACACAAGACUCUGAGCAUUUCCAGGUUGUGCUGGGGGUGGGAGUGUUCCCUGCAGAGCUCCAUGCUGCUCUGAGACACAAGCCAUGAAGCACUAGCUACAUCAGCAACUGGAACAUAGUGACCUUGGAGAAAUCAGGACAAAUAUAUCACCCAAAAAAUAACACUAAAACUCAUUGAAAGGCCUGUUACUCCUCCAUGGAGCUCUUUGUGGAAUCCAGCUAGAAACCAAGGGAAAAAACUGCCAAUGACCUAAAUUUGCAUGUAUCAAGCUGAGAAUAUCUCUCCCCCUCUCCUCCUAGACAUACAGGCCAGAGGAGACAUCUCACUCGGAAAGCAGAAGCAAGAGGAACGGACAGCUGAUUCCUCUGAAAGUGGGGGCGGGGAGGGAGAGGAGAAAAAUGAAUGAAAGGGAGCAGCAUGGCGAAGGGAAGCAAAAGGAAACUGCGGGUAGAUCAGAUGUUAUCACUGGGAACAUUGUGGGAUGAGGAAAGCUUGGGAGAGCAGAAUUAAAGAGGCAUCGUUACCAGACUGGUGAUGCACUGCCAGAAAACAGUAUAACAGGGAGGUCAGGGAAAAUCUACUCUCUCUUAUAACUGUGAAGGCUGUACCUGCAGCAGUUAAAGACAAAAGAGGCUUCUUGGGGGAGAUGGGUGAGAACCAGGAACUGAAGAGGACAGUCACUGGGAAGAAAGAAGAGAACAAUCACUGAAAGAAGUGGACAGUCACUGGGAAACGGUCGAGUGUUUGGUGCUGGAGAACCCACCACAUCCCUAAGUAGACUUAACAGGAGACACUCACCGGCCAGCCUGCGUGGAGAAGCUGGUCAGCUGCUUUCUCUGCAGGUGUCAGAGCAGAUCUGGGGCUUCAGAAGGGAUUUGGAUGCGGAGAGAGGAGGCCUCGUGAAUGAGCUCUGGAAGGCCAUUCUGCUCCUAGUGGGCCGCACGGUGAGGAGCUACUCAAACAGAAUGAAACAGCAGAACAGAGGACAACACCAAAGAGGUCUGACAUGCUGCCUGUCUCUGAGCAUACAGAGCCAUCACUAACCAAAAGGGAAGGCAGAAUACCACACAGAAUGCAGAUGGAACCUAUGCUAACGUGGUGUCAGCUCCAUCAUCUUCUGUCUCUGGUGGAAAUCUUCAUCCAGAUGCUCUCAUCUCCCCAUUCCUCUUGGCUUCUAGUUCUCCACACUUUCCCAGAGGAAGCCUCAGGUUCAGAGUCCAUGGACACAGGAGUCCUGUGAGAGACUUGUCAACAAAAGGCCCUUGAACCUCACCGUGGCAGCAAUCAGCCACCCAUUCCUGCCAGGAGUCACACAGCCCUAGCUCAUCUUGAAACAAUUUAAGUGCAAUUAGAUAUGACCGCAACCGCUUCUGAUCAGUGGAAAGA